rnacentral:rRNA from 1 species
ACACUCCUGCGGGAGGCAGCAGUGGGGAAUUUUGGACAAUGGGGGCAACCCUGAUCCAGCAAUGCCGCGUGAGUGAAGAAGGCCUUCGGGUUGUAAAGCUCUUUUGUCAGGGAAGAAACGGUGGUGGCGAAUAACUACUACUAAUGACGGUACCUGAAGAAUAAGCACCGGCUAACUACGUGCCAGCAGCCGCGGUAAUACGUAGGGUGCAAGCGUUAAUCGGAAUUACUGGGCGUAAAGCGUGCGCAGGCGGUUGUGUAAGUCAGAUGUGAAAUCCCCGGGCUCAACCUGGGAAUUGCAUUUGAGACUGCACGGCUAGAGUGUGUCAGAGGGGGGUAGAAUUCCACGUGUAGCAGUGAAAUGCGUAGAUAUGUGGAGGAAUACCGAUGGCGAAGGCAGCCCCCUGGGAUAACACUGACGCUCAUGCACGAAAGCGUGGGGAGCAAACAGGAUUAGAAACCCCGGUAGUCCCAU